rnacentral:rRNA from 1 species
UACAUUAGAUACCCGCGUAGUCCAGGGUGUAAACGCUGCGGGCUUGGUGUUGGGGGGUCCUUUGAGGGCGCCCAGUGCCGGAGAGAAGUUGUUAAGCCUGCUGCUUGGGGAGUACGUCCGCAAGGAUGAAACUUAAAGGAAUUGGCGGGGGAGCACCGCAACGGGAGGAGCGUGCGGUUCAAUUGGAUUCAACGCCGGACAACUCACCAGGAGCGACGGUUACAUGAAGGCCAGGCUGAUGACCUUGCCUGAUUUUCCG